AUAUCAAUAAGCGGAGGAAAAGAAACUAACAAGGAUUCCCCUAGUAACUGCGAGUGAACCGGGAAAAGCUCAAAUUUUGAAUCUGGCAGUCCUUGAGGCUGUCCGAGUUGUAAUCUAGAGAAGCGUUUUCCGCGCUGGACCGUGUAUAAGUUUCCUGGAAAGGAACGUCAUAGAGGGUGAAAAUCCCGUCUUUGACACGGACUCCCAGGGCUAUGUGAUGCGCUCUCGACGAGUCGAGUUGUUUGGGAAUGCAGCUCAAAUAGGGUGGUAAAUUCCAUCUAAAGCUAAAUACAGGCGAGAGACCGAUAGCGAACAAGUACCGUGAGGGAAAGAUGAAAAGAACUUUGGAAAGAGAGUUAAACAGUACGUGAAAUUGCUGAAAGGGAAACGCUUGAUGUCAGUCGCGUCGGCCGGGGAUCAGUCUGGCUUUAACUAGCUAGGCGUACUUCCUGGUCGACGGGUCAGCAUCAGUUUUGACCGUCGGAAAAGGGCUUGAGGAAUGUGGCACUCUCUUUACCGGGGGUGUGUUAUAGACUCUUGUCUUGAAUACGAUGGUUGGGACUGAGGAAACCGCAGCACGGCCUAUAUGGUUUUCGGGGCUUAGGCUCACGUUUAGCGUGCUUAGGAUGCUGGCAUAAUGGCCUUAAGCGA
rnacentral:rRNA from 1 species